AAAUCUAGAGUAGGUCAAUUGAGCCUAGGAUGUCAUCCAGCAACAGAAAGCUUGUCAAAAUAGGAACCAUUUCCAUCCCUACCACUGGGCCUCUAUGAUGGUGCCCUUUGGGCUGAGUCAGGGUCUGGAAGUACACUCUGCUCCUUGUCUCCCUUGGACACUCUUGCCUGGGUAGAUGUGAAUGCAGGUCAUCCAUGCUGGGGACACAGUGCCUGGAAAUUGAAUUCACACAGAAAUCAUAUAUCGCUCCAGGGUACCUGGAAGUUUUUUCCUCAAAAAUGUACAGAACUGGUAUGACAGGAUAACAUUCUUAAUUAAACAUUUUUAAUGAAACUAUAA
ensembl:lncRNA novel transcript